rnacentral:rRNA from 1 species
UGGGGGAUAUUGCACAAUGGGCGAAAGCCUGAUGCAGCGACGCCGCGUGGGGGAUGAAGGCCUUCGGGUUAUAAACUUCUUUUGCUCUGAACAAGGCAUGCUUUUGGGGUGUGUUGAGUGUAGGGGUUGAUUAGCGCCGGCUAACUACGUGCCAGCAGCCGCGGUAAUACGUAGGGCGCGAGCGUUGUCCGGAAUUAUUGGGCGUAAAGGGCUUGUAGGUGGCUGGUUGCGUCUGUCGUGAAAGCUCAUGGCUUAACUGUGGGUUUGCGGUGGGUACGGGCUGGCUUGAGUGCAGUAGGGGAGGCUGGAAUUCCUGGUGUAGCGGUGGAAUGCGCAGAUAUCAGGAGGAAUACCGGUGGCGAAGGCGGGUCUCUGGGCUGUUACUGACGCUGAGGAGCGAAAGCGUGGGGAGCGAACAGG